CUUGAGCGAUCCCAGCCACAGUGGCCGGUCCCGGGGGCGGUCCGUCCCGUACGCGUUCAGCAGCGCCUGUCCCUC
rnacentral:antisense_RNA from 1 species